ensembl:rRNA 5S_rRNA 5S ribosomal RNA
UCCUACAGCCAUAGCACCCUGAACACACCAAAUCUCAUUUGAUCUCAGAAGCUAAGCAGGGAUGGGCCUAGUUAGUACUUGGAUGGGAGAAGAGAAUCCUGACUGGGCAGAAGAGAGAU